UACGUAGGGUGCAAGCGUUGUCCGGAAUUAUUGGGCGUAAAGAGCUCGUAGGCGGUUUGUCGCGUCGAAUGUGAAAACCCGGGGCUCAACCCCCGGGCCUGCAUUCGAUACGGGCAGACUGGAGUUCGGUAGGGGAGUCUGGAAUUCCUGGUGUAGCGGUGAAAUGCGCAGAUAUCAGGAGGAACACCGGUGGCGAAGGCGGGACUCUGGGCCGAUACUGACGCUGAGGAGCGAAAGCGUGGGGAGCAAACAGG
rnacentral:rRNA from 1 species